AGCUAUGAAGAAGGAGGAAAGUGGAUCUACAACAGCAAAAAUAGCACAAUUAUCUACUCAAAUGCCAAGACAACAAAAGACAUAGAAGAACUACCAAGAAGGAUCACUACCCUGGCAAUUGGGAAGCUACACCAACAACUAAUGCAUUAAGAAAAUAUCCAAAGCAGCUGACAGAAAAAACAAAAUAUCUAAUAUGUCAACAACUAAAGGAUUUAUUCAACCUACAUCAUUGCAAAUAUUGCAAUAAAAAAGAAGACAUUCCCAAGGUUUAUCUUCCACCAACUAUGGCAAAAGAAAAAGAAGAAGAAGACAAGCAAAUUGAAGACAAGAAAAGUGAAGACUAAACUUUCGUAUAAGUCUUGCAAACAAGUUUCAAGACAAAUGUAGUAUUUAGGCUAACAUUUUCCUAUGUUUUUGUUUUGUUUUUUAGUUUUGAUUAAUGUAGUCUUGAUUAAGAGUUUUGUUUUUUAGUAUUGAUUAAAAGUUUUGUUUUUUAGUCAUGUAUUAUUUCAAGAAGUGUAGUAUUUUUAGGAUAGAUU
rnacentral:lncRNA from 1 species